UAAAAGUAACUUUACCGAACACUGGUUAGCAAAACGUUCUUAGAACAUAUUUUCGUUAGCCGGGUAGUCACAGUCUUAUCUGCAUAUUGAGAGCUCUAGGCCCUGUAAUAAAGUCGUACAUUUCCAACCUAAAGCAGCUUAUUUCUUGGUUGUGUUCCUUUUAAAGGAGAAACACACAGAUAUCAGGUCACAGGUUAGUUAAGAAGGGCAGCUCGUUCCAAAAGGUUUACACAGUGCAGCUUGCCCCAAAACUGACCCUUGACCAGCUAAACUAGUUCAGUCAGCAUAAAUAACCGGCUUGUUUUGGGAUCUUUCACGAUAAUACACUGGUCUACCUUCAAAAACAACUACUGUGCCCAUCUAAACCAGUUAAAGUCCCAUGAAAUGGUUUGAUGAGCUCAGAUUUCUUUCCUGUGUUGAUGUAUUUCCUUUUGAAACAGGAAGUUGGGGCGGAACAUAAUGAAAGACUGGUGCCUUUUUAAAAUACCCAAUAGUCUUUAGUUUAUGUCACAGCCACGCAAAACUGCACUUAGUUGACAAAAGCCAAGAAAAGGCUUUCAAAAUAAAUACAUUCCAGUCACUUCCUACUAACGGUUUGGAUGAGGAAAUUAAUAUGAGCAAUUUUGUUUAUUUUCAUAUUAAAUAUCGCAACAGACAUUUAUCACUCAGUUUAGCACUUUUAAAUGACAGUUUGUUUAAUUAAAUUUAUUUUCUGAGGUGUUCUGAGUGUUUUUAGGACAUUGCUUUGCAGCUGCUAAGGUGUUGUGAGUGGGUUUUUGGAAUGUUGCUAUGCGGUUGCUAAGGUUUUGCUAUGCGGUUGCUAAGGUGCUGUGAGUGGCUUUUUAGAAUGUUGUUAUGCAGUUGCUAAGGUGUUACGUUGUGAGUGGCUUUUUAGAAUGUUGCUAUACAGUUGCUGUGGUGCUGUGAGUGGCUUUUUCGAAUGUUGCUAUGCAGUUGCUAAGGUGUUAUGUUGUGAGUGACUUUUAGAAUGUUGAUAUGCAGUUGCUAAAGUGUUGCUAUGCGGUUGCUAAGGUGUUAUGUUGUGAGUGGCUUUUU